rnacentral:tRNA from 1 species
GGACGGAUGGCGGAAUUGGCAGACGCGUACGGCUUAGGACCGUAUGGAGCAAUCCUUAAGGGUUCAAGUCCCUUUCCGUCCACCA